rnacentral:lncRNA from 1 species
GUGUGACAGUGUAACAACCUUUUGAACAAACCUUCCGAGGUGUGCUUUAGAGGAGGACCCCUAACCUGAGUGCGCGUUCCCUGACGGUGGGCGCGCACGCAGCUGUGGGCCCAGGGCCCUAGGGCUGAUUAAUGCUGAUAGCAACCCCAGCCCCUGCUGUAUUUUAAGGAUUUUGUCAGAAGCAGCAGAUUGCUAACAGUUAUUUGGUUAUAUGGUCAUCUUAACGAAGUCCAGCAAAAUUCCAGGUAUAGAAUAUGUUGCUA